rnacentral:rRNA from 1 species
CGUCAAGUCAUCAUGGCCCUUAUGUCCAGGGCUACACACGUGCUACAAUGGGCGGUACAGAGCGACGCGAAGCCGCGAGGUCGGAGCGAAGCGCGAAAGCCGCCCGUAGUCCGGAUUGAAGUCUGAAACCCGACUUCAUGAAGUUGGAAUCGCUAGUAAUCGCGCAUCAGCAUGGCGCGGUGAAUACGUUCCCGGGCCUU